CCUACGGGUGGCAGCAGUAGGGAAUAUUUCUCAAUGGGGGAAACCCUGAAGCAGCAACGCCGCGUGCAGGAUGAAGGUUUUCGGAUUGUAAACUCCUUUUGUGAGAGAAGAUAAUGACGGUAUCUCACGAAUAAGCAUCGGCUAACUCCGUGCCAGCAGCCGCGGUAAUACGGAGGGUGCAAGCGUUACCCGGAAUCACUGGGCGUAAAGAGUGCGCAGGGGGGCUUGAAAGUCAGAUGAGAAAUGCUGUAGCUUAACUACAGCACUGGAUUUGAAAAUAUGAGUCGAGAGUGGGGGAGAGGUAGGUGGAAUUCUUGUUGAAGGGGUAAAAUCCGUAGAUAUCGAGAGGAAAACUCAUUGCGGAGGCGACCUACUGGAACAUUACUGACGCUCAUGCACGAAAGCGUGGGGAGCAAACAGGAUUAGAUACCGUGUAGUC
rnacentral:rRNA from 1 species